rnacentral:rRNA from 1 species
GUGAGGAAUAUUGCACAAUGGGCGAAAGCCUGAUGCAGCAACGCCGCGUGAGUGAUGAAGGCCUUUGGGUCGUAAAACUCUGUCCUUGGGGAAGAAAAAAAUGACGGUACCCUUGGAGGAAGCCCCGGCUAACUACGUGCCAGCAGCCGCGGUAAUACGUAGGGGGCAAGCGUUAUCCGGAAUUAUUGGGCGUAAAGAGUGCGUAGGUGGUUUUGUAAGCGUAGGGUGAAAGGCAGUAGCUCAACUAUUGUUAGCCCUGCGAACUGUGAGACUUGAGUGCAGGAGAGGAAAGUGGAAUUCCUAGUGUAGCGGUGAAAUGCGUAGAUAUUAGGAGGAACACCAGUGGCGAAGGCGACUUUCUGGACUGUAACUGACACUGAGGCACGAAAGCGUGGGGAGCAAACAGGAUUAGAUACCCGAGUAGUCC